AAUCAACGCUGGCGGCGUGCCUCAGACAUGCAAGUCGAACGAUUAAACUUCCCUUCGGGGAAGAUAUAAAGUGGCGCACGGGUGAGUAACACGUAGGUAAUGUACCUUUGGGUGGGGAAUAACUUAGGGAAACUUAAGCUAAUACCGCAUAAUGCAGCGGCUCCUUCGGGAGACAGUUGUUAAAGAUUUAUCGCCUAAAGAGCAGCCUGCGGCAGAUUAGCUAGUUGGUAAGGUAACGGCUUACCAAGGCUACGAUCUGUAUCCGACCUGAGAGGGUGGUCGGACACACUGACACUGAAUAACGGGUCAGACUCCUACGGGAGGCAGCAGUCGGGAAUUUUGGGCAAUGGGCGAAAGCCUGACCCAGCAACGCCGCGUGAAGGAUGAAGUCUUUCGGGAUGUAAACUUCGUAAGAAUAGGAAGAAUAAAUGACGGUACUAUUUGUAAGAUCCGGCUAACUACGUG
rnacentral:rRNA from 1 species